ACGGUGAGCUCCAGACACACAUUGUUGAGGUCUCCUGGCUGCAAACCGCAGUAUGUGAAAGUGUGAUUCCAAUGCGGGUUCACCGUCCGACGCUCCACCGCUGUCUUGUGCUUGGUGGACUUUUGGCUGUCCGGGAGCAGGAAUAUACUUCAGCACCACAGUCAGUUCUCCCUUGUACUGCAUGGUAGCAUCGAUGCUGCUCUCCAGCUGUAAAAACACGUCGGCACUCGUUCGUUUGGCACAUGACGGGAAAAGGUCUUUAGGAGUGGAGUGGCUACCUUGGGCUGCAGACUGAACCACUCAUCUAUUUGGGAAUCGAACUCCCAGGAGUCAAAAGUCAACUCUACUUCUCCCAGGAAGCUGUUGUGUCCAAAUCGGUCGUGGUGCCACACCGACACUUGCAAGGUACGCGUUUCCAGCUGCGAGUGGCUGAUCACAUACUACACCAAUAAAGAAGACCCAGGUUCUCGUUAAAAACGGGAUUGAUGGUCUUGGCUUUGAUGCCUGUCUUCCUCUUGCUUUGGCGGGACAUGUCCGGCAGCAGGUACGUCUUCACAUAACUGUCAGGAAACACGCAUGCUAACUAUUGCU